AUGCAAGUCGAACGGUAGAGUAGCAAUACUCGAGAGUGGCGAACGGGUGAGUAAUAUAUCGGAACGUGCCCAGUCGUGGGGGAUAACGUAAAGAAAUUUACGCUAAUACCGCAUACGAUCUAAGGAUGAAAGCGGGGGCUUCGCAAGAACCUCGCGCGAUUGGAGCGGCUGAUAUCAAAUUAGGUUGUUGGUGAGGUAAAAGCUCACCAAGCCGACGAUCUGUAGCUGGUUUGAGAGAACGACCAGCCACACUGGGACUGAGACACGGCCCAAACUCCUACGGGAGGCAGCAGUGGGGAAUUUUGGACAAUGGGCGAAAGCCUGAUCCAGCAAUGCCGCGUGCAGGAAGAAGGCCUUCGGGUUGUAAACUGCUUUUGUACGGAACGAAACGGUCUGCCUUAAUACGGUGGGCUAAUGACGGUACCGUAAGAAUAAGCACCGGCUAACUACGUGCCAGCAGCCGCGGUAAUACGUAGGGUGCGAGCGUUAAUCGGAAUUACUGGGCGUAAAGCGUGCGCAGGCGGUUAUAUAAGACAGUUGUGAAAUCCCCGGGCUCAACCUGGGAAUUGCAUCUGUGACUGUGUAGCUAGAGUACGGUAGAGGGGGAUGGAAUUCCGCGUGUAGCAGUGAAAUGCGUAGAUAUGCGGAGGAACACCGAUG
rnacentral:rRNA from 1 species